UCACAGGUCAACGCUAUGACCCUAACCGGAUUCACAGGUCAGUGCUCUGAGCCUAACUGGUUCACAGGUCAAUGGUGUGACCCUAACUGGAUUCACAGGUUCAAAGCUCUGACUCUAUCCUGGUUUACAGAUCAGUGCUCUGACCCUAACAGGUUCACAGGUCAAUGCUCUGACCCUAAUCUGGUUCACGGGUCAAUCCUCUGACCGUAACUGGGUUCACAGGUUCAAUGCUCUGACCCUAUCCUGGUUCACCUGUCAAUGCUCUGACCCUAACUGGGUUCACAGGUUCAAUGCUCUGACCCUAUCCUGGUUCACCUGUCAAUGCUCUGACCCUAACUGGGUUCACAG